GAUGAACGCUGGCGGCGUGCCUAACACAUGCAAGUCGAUCGAACUUUUUGGAGCUUGCGGCUAUAAGUUAGGGGCGCACGGGUGAGAAACCCGAGUCUAACCUGCCUGAAAUACGGGUAUAAUUUCGCGACACGGGAACGAAUACAGUAUAACAUUCAACACCACAUUGCAGUCUGGUAAAAUAUGGCUUUUAGAGAAGACAUACAGAUGGACCAGCGUCGCAUUGUCUAGUUGGUGAGGUAACGCCUCACCAAGGCGACGAUGCGUAGCCGACCUGAGAUGGUGAUCGGCGACACUGGGACGGAGCCACGCCCUCGACCCAUACGGGCUGCAGCAGUAGGGAAACUUGCGCAAUGGCCGAAAGUCUGACGGAUCACCGCCGCGUGAGCGCAGAAGGCCUCCGGGUCGUCAAGAUCUGCUGUGAGGGACGAACACUUAUCGUUCGAAUAGGGCGGUAGCUUGACGGUACCUAACCAGAAAGCUACGGCUAACUACGUG
rnacentral:rRNA from 1 species